AGGUGCGAUCAUACCAGCACUAAUGCACCGGAUCCCAUCAGAAAUCCGCAGUUAAGCGUGCUUUGGCGAGAGUAAUACUAUGAUGGGUGACCUCCUGGGAAGUCCUCGUGUUGCACCUC
rnacentral:rRNA from 2 species